GAUGAACGCUGGCGGCGUGCUUAACACAUGCAAGUCGAACGGAAAGGCUCCUGCCUGCAGGGGUACUCGAGUGGCGAACGGGUGAGUAACACGUGGGUGAUCUGCCCUGCACUUCGGGAUAAGCCUGGGAAACUGGGUCUAAUACCGGAUAGGACCACAUUUUGGAUGGUGUGGUGGAAAGUUUUUCGGUGUGGGAUGAGCUCGCGGCCUAUCAGCUUGUUGGUGGGGUAAUGGCCUACCAAGGCGUCGACGGGUAGCCGGCCUGAGAGGGUGUACGGCCACAUUGGGACUGAGAUACGGCCCAGACUCCUACGGGAGGCAGCAGUGGGGAAUAUUGCACAAUGGGCGCAAGCCUGAUGCAGCGACGCCGCGUGGGGGAUGACGGCCUUCGGGUUGUAAACUCCUUUCGCUAGGGACGAAGCGCAAGUGACGGUACCUGGAGAAGAAGCACCGGCUAACUACGUG
rnacentral:rRNA from 1 species